GAGUCGCCGCGACUGGACGUGUGUCGCGAGACAGGAGACACGGCUUUUCGACUCUGCACCGGCCAGUCCUCACCGGGGCCUGCUGAGAUGGUGCCUUGCCUGACCGAGAGGCGUCUUCAGCGGCAAGAUAUUCGCAACCUACGCUAAGCUGCUGUCCUGAAACUUCAUAAGGUUAACCAUAUUGAGAUGAAGGAUACAAUCUGCCUGUGGCUGAAACAGAGCGAAACAAGAGUAAUGAAGAGCUGCUGUCCUGAAACUUCAUAAGGUUAACCAUAUUGAGGUGAAGGAUACAAUCUGCCUGUGGCUGAAACAGAGCGAAACAAGAGUAAU